CAGAUUGAGUUGAAUUCACCGCCCGCCUUGUCAAAAACUACCACAAAACGAAACUCGGCUCCAGAUAGAUUUGCCCUGUGGAGCCACCAGAAUCCACCCGAGAAAGGCCACCCCGGCCAUGGGCGGCCUGGGAAGUUUUAACUAAUUCACUUACCCUACUUACUCUAUCAAGCAGGGUGGGGGAGGCGAAACUCCGAUUCCGCAACAAGGCAAAAAGCGGAUCGCCUCAACACAGGCAAAAAGGGCUGGAAACGGAAAUGCUACCCUGGGGAAGGAAGUCUGGUCGAAGCCUGCUAGAAGCCCGUUCGUGCACUCCAGCCGCCUGAUUGGCUAUGCUUAAAAGGGCGGACAUUGGCAGCAAAAGCCAUUUGGCCCCGUCCAAGGACUUGAGUUAGGGUUACGGGAUAUCAUGGGCCAACCUUGGACCCUUGCUGCUGCGAGGAAGUUGGAAGAGGCGAAUGGGAACGAGGAAGUUAAUCAUUAAUUAAGCUGCCCACUUAACUGUUACUUGAUUGAGCAUAAUGAUUAAGGGGAAAAAAAAAAAAAAAAGAGGGCUCACGAACCCGGGAGCGCCCCGACGCUCAACGUAUGGGGCCGAGCGUUUCCGUGGCCUGUUCUUCGCUGAGUUUAAACCUCGACGAGACCCAUUCAUGCCC
rnacentral:sRNA from 1 species